ACGGAAGGCAGCAGUGGGGAAUAUUGCACAAUGGGGGAAACCCUGAUGCAGCGACGCCGCGUGAGUGAGGAAGUAUUUCGGUAUGUAAAGCUCUAUCAGCAGGGAAGAAAAUGACGGUACCUGACUAAGAAGCCCCGGCUAACUACGUGCCAGCAGCCGCGGUAAUACGUAGGGGGCAAGCGUUAUCCGGAUUUACUGGGUGUAAGGGGAGCGUAGACGGUUCUGCAAGUCUGAUGUGAAAGGCAGGGGCUCAACUCCUGGACUGCAUUGGAAACUGUAGAACUAGAGUGCCGGAGAGGUAAGCGGAAUUCCUAGUGUAGCGGUGAAAUGCGUAGAUAUUAGGAGGAACACCAGUGGCGAAGGCGGCUUACUGGACGGUAACUGACGUUGAGGCUCGAAAGCGUGGGGAGCAAACAGGAUUAGAUACCCUGGUA
rnacentral:rRNA from 1 species